GAAGCUCAGUGGUAGAGCACUUGCCUAGCAUGUAUGAGGCCCUGAGUUCAAUCCUCAGC
rnacentral:tRNA from 1 species